rnacentral:rRNA from 1 species
CCUACGGGGGGCUGCAGUGAGGAAUAUUGGUCAAUGGGCGCAAGCCUGAACCAGCCAUGCCGCGUGCAGGAAGACGGCUCUAUGAGUUGUAAACUGCUUUUGUAAGGGAGUAAAGGUAUGUACGUGUACAUAUUUGCAAGUACCUUACGAAUAAGGAUCGGCUAACUCCGUGCCAGCAGCCGCGGUAAUACGGAGGAUCCAAGCGUUAUCCGGAUUUAUUGGGUUUAAAGGGUGCGUAGGUAGGACAUCAAGUUAGCGGUAAAAGAUAAAGGCUUAACCUUUAGUAGCCGUUAAGACUGGUGACCUAGAGAGUGGAUGCGGUAGGCGGAAUGUGUAGUGUAGCGGUGAAAUGCAUAGAUAUUACACAGAACACCGAUUGCGAAGGCAGCUUACCAAUCCAUAUCUGACACUGAGGCACGAAAGCGUGGGUAGCGAACGGGCUUAGAUACCCUGGUAGUC